rnacentral:rRNA from 1 species
UACAGAGGUCUCAAGCGUUGUUCGGAUUCAUUGGGCGUAAAGGGUGUGUAGGUGGCGCCGUAAGUCGGGGUGUGAAAUCUCGGGGCUUAACUCCGAAACUGCAUUCGAUACUGCGGUGCUUGAGGACUGGAGAGGAGACUGGAAUUUACGGUGUAGCGGUGAAAUGCGUAGAUAUCGUAAGGAAGACCAGUGGCGAAGGCGGGUCUCUGGACAGUUCCUGACGCUGAGGCACGAAGGUCAGGGGAGCAAACGGG